rnacentral:lncRNA from 10 species
GCGUGAACCCAGGAAGUGGAGGUUGCAGUGAGCCGAGAUUGUGCCACUGCACUCCAGCCUGGGUAAGAGAACAAGUCUCUGUCUCAAAAAAAGAAGUCUUCGGUUGUGCUGCAGAGACCUGACCAUUGGACAGGUAUGGUGAUGUGAUCAGAGCUGCCCAUUGCGAAGCGGGAACUGUCAGAUACACCAAGUGACACAGUUGAGCAGGUGCAGCAAUAAUCCAUCCUACCAUGGAAAUGGUGCAUUCCAGAUGAGGACUACUCAGCCUAAAGCGCACAAAGACAAGGUCUCACUAUGGUGCACAGGCUGGUUUUAAACUCCUGGUAUCAAACAAUCCUCCUCCCUUGGCCUCCCAAAGUGCUGGGAUCAUAGGCAUGAGCCACUGAGCCCUGCCUUUUAAAAAAAAAAAAAUAGAGAGGGACAGCUGCUUGCUGUGUUGCCCAGGCUGAACUGCAGUGGCUAUUUACCAGCAGGAUUAUCACACAAAACAGUCUUGAACUCCUGGGCUCAAGUGAUCCUCCUGUCUCAGCCUCCGGAGUAGCUGGGACUACAGGUGUGCACCACGGUGUCCAGCUUUACCUCCUGCCACUUUAUACUUUGGUAGACUAGUGAUCAUGAUUGGUGAUCCUGAUUCCCAAGGGUAGGUGAAGGGAAUGCUUCUACCAGGCCACUCAGUAAGGAUUCCACUAAAACUGAAGCUAUGGCUGCCUUAUGAUCGUUUUGAGCUCCUCGGGCCAGUAGAUCAGCAGACAAAAUAAAAAGAAGCUACUCUCCUGGCAGGGUAAUCAACCCUGAUUAUCAUGAGGAGACAGGGUUGCUGCUAUAUAAUGGGUGCAGAAAGAAUAAAUCUAGACCUCAGGGGAUUGACUGGUCACCUCGUGUUGACUCCAUGAGUGAUGAUAACUGAAUGGGCAACUGCAGCAAAACCAUGAUCUGAAUGGAUAUGGAAACCAGGGGCUCAGACCCAUCAGGAAUACCCCCUGAAGCAGCAUCAUUCACCAUAGCCAAAAAGUGGAGACAACCCAAAAGUCCAUCAGCUGAUGAAUGGACCAACAAAAUGUAUUAUAUGCAUACAAUGGAAUAUUAUUCAGCAAUAAAAAGGAAUGAAAUACUGAUACAUGCUACAACAUGGAUGACCUUGAAAAUAUCAUGGUUAGUGAAAGAAGCCAGCCACCAAAAAACCUAUAUUGUAUGAUUUUUUUUUUUUUUUUUGAGAUGGAGUUUUGUUCUUGUUGCCCAGGCUGGAGUGCAGUGGCACAGUCUCUGCUCACUGUAAUGUCCGCCUCCCAGGUUCAAGCGAUUCUCCUGCCUCAGCCUCCCAAGUAGCUGGAAGUACAGGCUCCUAUCACUAUGCCCAGCUAAUUUUUGUAUUUUUAGUAGAGACGGGUUUCACCAUGUUGGCCAGCCUGGUCUCGAACUCCUGACCGCAGGUGAUCUGCUCACCUCAGCCUCCCAAAGUGCUGGGAUUACAGGCAUGACCCACAGCGCCCAGCCUAUAUUGUAUGAUUUUAUUUACAUGAAAUGUCUAGAAUAGGCAAAUCUAUAGAGACAGAAACAAUAUUAAUGGUUGCCUAGGGCUGGAGGGAGGAAUGAGGAGUGAUGGCUGAUGGGCAUGGAAUUUCUUUUUGGAGUGAUGGAAAUACUCUAAACUUAGAAUGUAGUGGUUGUAGAACUCGGGGAGUAAUAAAAGCCACUGAAUUGUGCACUUUAAAUGGGUGAAUUUUAUGGCAUGUGAAUUAUACUUCAAUAAAGAUGUUACAAAGGAAACUUAUAACAGUAUACUUCCAUUUCUUCUGUCCCUGACUUUGAAUAUUGUUGUUAGACAUUUUACUGUAGUUGGUAUAUUCAUGCAUAUUAAUGAGAUUGGCUAUUUUUUCAGAUGCUUAUUGAGCCAGGUGAGGUGAUGUGAGCCUAUAGUCCCAGCUACUUGGGAGGCUGAAGCAGGAGGAUUGCUUGAGGCCCGUCCUGGACUGUAGUGCGCUAUGCAGAUCGGGUGUCCACACUAAGUUCAGCAUCGAUAUAGUGACCUCCCAGGAGUGGGGGACCAACAGGUUGCCUAAGGUGGAGUGAACCAGCCCAGGGUGGAAAGGGAGGAGGUCAAACCUCCCAUGCUGAUCAGUAGUGGGAUCACGCCUGUGAAUAGCCACUGCACUCCAGCCUGGGCAACAUAGAAAGACCCCGUCUCAGCCAGGUGCGGUGGCUCACGCCUGUAAUCCCAGCACUUUGGAAGGCCAAGGCAGGCGGAUCACGAGGUCAGGAGAUUGAGACCAUCCUGGC